GCCGUGGUGGUGCAGUGGUCAGCACACCCGAUCUGGUAUCCUAACUUCCUAAAACCGCUUACCUAAGUCCCUAAAUUCGCUUACCUGAGUUCCUAAUACCUUCUCUCGAGGAUCGUGAAGGUCGCGGGUUCAAAUCCUGCUCACGGCG
rnacentral:tRNA from 1 species